rnacentral:misc_RNA from 1 species
GUGUAUGUUUUCUCUUUUUUGUGUUCAAACUCAUUCGCGUGUAUGUAAAAGAAAAAUGACGCCGUCCGAAAGCCCCCCUCGCGGGGCGACCUCCACGAACGACCAGCCAAAACCACAGGUGGACAUGAAAGGCGGUCAUGCAGUGAUGAUCCUUCCGCAGGUUCACCUACGGAAA